UACAGAGGUCUCAAGCGUUGUUCGGAUUCAUUGGGCGUAAAGGGUGCGUAGGCGGCGCGGUAAGUCGGAUGUGAAAUCUCGGAGCUUAACUUCGAAACUGCAUUCGGUACUGCCGUGCUUGAGGACUGGAGAGGAGACUGGAAUUUACGGUGUAGCGGUGAAAUGCGUAGAUAUCGUAAGGAAGACCAGUGGCGAAGGCGGGUCUCUGGACAGUUCCUGACGUGAGGCACGAAGGUCAGGGGAGCAAACGGG
rnacentral:rRNA from 1 species